AUUGAACGCUGGCGGCAUGCUCUACACAUGCAAGUCGAACGGUAACAGGCCGCAAGGUGCUGACGAGUGGCGAACGGGUGAGUAAUGCAUCGGAACGUGCCCAGUCGUGGGGGAUAACUACUCGAAAGAGUAGCUAAUACCGCAUACGAUCUAUGGAUGAAAGCGGGGGACCGUAAGGCCUCGCGCGAUUGGAGCGGCCGAUGUCAGAUUAGGUAGUUGGUGGGGUAAAGGCUCACCAAGCCAACGAUCUGUAGCUGGUCUGAGAGGACGACCAGCCACACUGGGACUGAGACACAGCCCAGACUCCUACGGGAGGCAGCAGUGGGGAAUUUUGGACAAUGGGCGCAAGCCUGAUCCAGCAAUGCCGCGUGCAGGAAGAAGGCCUUCGGGUUGUAAACUGCUUUUGUACGGAACGAAACGGCUCUGGUUAAUACCCGGGGCUAAUGACGGUACCGUAAGAAUAAGCACCGGCUAACUACGUG
rnacentral:rRNA from 1 species